rnacentral:lncRNA from 1 species
ACACAAGCCUUCCUCACACCCCAAAGUUUCUCUCCUAAAAUUUCUACGCACGUCCCACCUUUCUCCUCUUUUUAAAACAACGUCGAACGUAUCUUAUCCGCGUGAGAGGAUAAAGAUAAGUGGUUGCACAUUUGAAUUCAAAUCAAAUUUGAAUUCAAACAAAAACCAACUUAUCCCUAUCCUUUUGGGCAUGAGAAGAGAAGGGGUGUGGCUCUUUGUGCAUGGAAAAUGUUUCACGAGAAACCUUUUCUCGUGU